rnacentral:rRNA from 1 species
UACGUAGGUGGCGAGCGUUGUCCGGAAUUACUGGGUGUAAAGGGAGCGCAGGCGGGAAGGCAAGUCAAGUGUUAAAUCUGUCGGCUUAACCGGCAGCUGCGCUUGAAACUGUUUUUCUUGAGUGAAGUAGAGGUAGGCGGAAUUCCUAGUGUAGCGGUGAAAUGCGUAGAUAUUAGGAGGAACACCAGUGGCGAAGGCGGCCUACUGGGCUUUAACUGACGCUGAGGCUCGAAAGCGUGGGGAGC